UAAGAAUUCCUCGACAUCAUCUCACAGCGAGAACUCAUGUUUCACAAUUGAGAGUGAAAGCCAAGCUGGAGUUAUCAGGCAGAAACACAGCACAAGACACCGAAGCUGAGCGUCUGAGUGACAGCUGUCAGCUGGUCUCACGGCUCCAUGUACCCUGAACCCAACACGGAUUCCCCUGCUCGUCUCUCCACGCGGCAGACUGGAUCCCCCUACACAGCUCGUUAUGGGAGUCCAAAGAGGCAGCUGCAGUUUUACAGGGGGUCAUUUCCAACUGAAAACCGAUAACUUUUUCUGGAUUUUGGCCAUUCAUUUACAUGACAACACAGUUUUGUGCGCUUGAAGGUACAAGUUUUUGAAAACCAUACUCAAAAACACUGUUUUUGAAAACGGUGAUGUCCCAAUUAUGUUUAUUACAUGUUUAGUCUAAAGGUAUGUGUUCCGGUGUGUAGUGUUUCUUUGCCAACUAAUGGCCUGGACUGCAUAAUCCAGUAUUUGUGGCCAUUUUUAUGGAUCGGUGUGAACAGGGAUUGUUUUGACAAAUGUUGCUGUCUAUAAUUGAAACGUUUAAAAAAUUCAGAGUUGCAAAGGAAAAACUUGUGUGCAAAUGUAUCUGUAGUAUUCCGUAUUUUCAGCCUAAUAGACAUUAUUGCAAUGUUAAUGCAAGUAUGGAGUUUAUACUUAUAUACAGUAUGGUAUAAGUAAGGAUGUCAGUAAGGAUGCAUUAAUUUGAUCAAAGAAACAGUAAAGACAUUUGUAAUGCUACAAAAGAUUUCUAUUUCAAAUAAAUGUUGUUCUUUUUGAACUUCAUAAUUAAGAAAGCAGUUUUCAACAUUGAUAAUGUUAAACCAGAGUGAGCUGGUAUUGAUUUG